rnacentral:rRNA from 1 species
AACGAACGCUGGCGGCAGGCUUAACACAUACAAGUCGAGCGCCCCGCAAGGGGAGCGGCAGACGGGUGAGUAACGCGUGGGAAUCUACCCAUCUCUACGGAAUAACUCAGGGAAACUUGUGCUAAUACCGUAUACGCCCUUCGGGGAAGGAUUUAUCGGAGAUGGAUGAGCCCGCGUUGGAUUAGCUAGUUGGUGGGGUA